rnacentral:rRNA from 1 species
UACGGGGGGGGUAAGCGUUGUUCGGAAUUACUGGGCGUAAAGGGCUCGUAGGCGGCCAACUAAGUCAUACGUGAAAUCCCUCAGCUUAACUGGGGAACUGCGUGUGAUACUGGAUGGCUUGGAUUUGGGAGAGGGAUGCGGAAUUCCAGGUGUAGCGGUGAAAUGCGUAGAUAUCUGGAGGAACACCGGUGGCGAAGGCGGCAUCCUGGACCAAUAUUGACGCUGAGGAGCGGAAGCCAGGGGAGCAAACGGG